rnacentral:rRNA from 1 species
AGAACGAACGCUGGCGGCAGGCUUAACACAUGCAAGUCGAACGCCCCGCAAGGGGAGUGGCAGACGGGUGAGUAACGCGUGGGAAUCUACCUGGUUCUACGGAAUAACUGAGGGAAACUUCAGCUAAUACCGUAUACGCCCCAAGGGGGAAAGAUUUAUCGGUGCCAGAUGAGCCCGCGUUGGAUUAGCUAGUUGGUAGGGUAAUGGCCUACCAAGGCGACGAUCCAUAGCUGGUCUGAGAGGAUGAUCAGCCACACUGGGACUGAGACACGGCCCAGACUCCUACGGGAGGCAGCAGUGGGGAAUCUUGCGCAAUGCGCGAAAGCGUGACGCAGCAACGCCGCGUGGGGGAAGACGGCCUUCGGGUUGUAACCCUUCAGUUGGACGAGCUUGCCGGUGACAGCCGGUUGAGUGACGGUACCUUCAGAAGAAGCCCGGCUAACUACGUGCCAGCAGCCGC